rnacentral:misc_RNA from 1 species
CUUAUGAUUGUGUGUUUUCUCAUCCAAAGACUCGUUCAUGGAACAACAGCAUAGAUUGUUGCUCAUGGAAUGGAGUUCAUUGUGACGAGACGACAGGGCAAGUGAUUGAGCUUGAUCUCCGUUGCAGCCAACUUCAAGGCAAGUUUCAUUCCAAUAGUAGCCUCUUUCAACUCUCCAAUCUAAAAAGGCUUGAUUUGUCUUUUAAUGAUUUCACUGGAUCGCUCAUUUCACCUA